rnacentral:rRNA from 1 species
GACGAACGCUGGCGGUGUGCUUAACACAUGCAAGUCGAACGGUAAGGCCCUUUCGGGGGUACACGAGUGGCGAACGGGUGAGUAACACGUGAGUAACCUGCCCUCAUCUCUGGGAUAACAGUCGGAAACGGUUGCUAAUACUGGAUAUGAGCCUGCAAGGCAUCUUGUGGGUUGGAAAGAUUUUUUGGUUGGGGAUGGACUCGCGGCCUAUCAGCUUGUUGGUGAGGUAGUGGCUCACCAAGGCUUCGACGGGUAGCCGGCCUGAGAGGGCGACCGGCCACAUUGGGACUGAGAUACGGCCCAAACUCCUACGGGAGGCAGCAGGGGGGAAUAUUGCACAAUGGACGGAAGUCUGAUGCAGCAACGCCGCGGGCGGGAUGACGGCCUUCGGGUUGGAAACCGCUUUCAAUUGUGACGAAGCUUUUUGUGACGGUAGCAGUAGAAGAAGCACCGGCUAACUACGUG